UAGGGCUCUGGCUGCCCAGUGUGGGAAUCAAUAGAUCAGGUUCCUUUAGCCCCUGGGCCAGUUGCUUCUAGAAACAAGUACAAAAGGACCGGGAGGCACUCUCCUGAAACAUUCUGUUUCCACCGGAAAGGCAUUACAAAUGGAGACCCUGCCAGUCAUCAGCAGGAGCUGCAGUUUGGUGUCCAUGGAAACCACCAGAGAUAUGUCCUUCUAGAUGAAGAACGCAGGUGGAGUCACUUUGAGCAACCAGGAACAGCUGAGGAGUUGUGGCCCCUCCCAUAUCACCCCCAAGCUACUGGGAGAUAGCCACUGACAAGCUGCUUGCUCCACCAGGAGCCAACCUUGAGCAGGCCCUUUGUUUUGGGGGUUCACUUGGGCAGGGUGUGUAGGCCCAGCCCCACCCAGGAAAUGCAAAACAAAAACAGGCCUGUGCUCCACAGGGGACCUCGGCUCCCUGGGGUGUUGAGAGUAACAAGGACAGGCCCAGCAGAAAGCAGCCAAAGCCGUUCCCACGGGGAAAGCCAGAAAAAUAUACAAGUGUACAGAUGGGGGUCUACACACACUCUGAGAAAGGCCACACAGCCUCUGUAACGGUUUCAGUUUUAUUCAAAAGAAAAUCUUAAAAACCAAUGCAAACAUGUUCACAUCACGAGUAAAAACAUCUCGCAAACUACUUCCGGAGAUUUCAGGACCACAUGGUACUCAUCUUUGAAAAGUACUAAGGGAUUCAGGUUCUCCCAGAUACUGGGGAGUCUGAGGCAAAAGGAUUGUGUGAGCCUAGUUCAAGAUCAGCCUAGACACCGCCUCCAGACCCCCACUUCUUUAAUUCAGUUGAUUCUGAAGAAUAGAGCAGGGCUACUUCACUUAGAAACACCAGUGGGUGUCGUUCUCUGGUGAAGUCCCAGUAAAGAUGGACAUCAUCCCUUCAGGGUGACAUCUUCACAGAGCUUAGAUUCGGAAGACAGCGGAAUAGCUCUCAUGAAGGUGCUGACGAGGCUGGGCUGUUUUGGGGAGCCUUGGUUGGUCAUUUCUAUACUUACUGGGGUUUGGGUUACAUAAGAGCUGUAGAAGGGCGCUGCUUGCAUGACUUUAUGUGGGGCUGAUGUUCUAUGUGUUUAUAUAAAAUACUGUUUGUGUCUAACAUGAUAGGCACAAUUACAUCAAGUCCAAAGCUCUGGUUUCCUCUGUUAAAAGUACUGUAUAUGACUCAGGUUUAGAGACCACGACUUCUGCACUUAAAUCACACGUGGACAGCAGAGGUGGCAGCUGGAAGGAUUAGAAGCGGUUGGGAGCUGAGAACCAGCAGAGGGGAGGGCGCUAGGGAGGAGUGCCGCCACUGCGCGCUUGCCAGGAGCUGCCAGAAGCAGUGGAGAGGGCGAGGGCGGAAAGACGCAAAGCAGCCGUGAGGGAGGCAGUGGCUGGUGGGCCCAGAGGGGGCUUGUCUAGCACUGUCUCUGAUCAUCCUGUCUGACUGAGGCGCUC